AUCUCAAGGAUACAAAAGUACUAAUUAGAAAAGGUACAUGCACCCCAAUGUUUAUAGUAGCUUUAUUUACAACAGCCAAAUUAUGGAAAAGGCCCAGAUGUGCAUCAACUGAUGAAUGGAUACAGAAGUUGUGGUCUAUCUACAAUGGAAUAUCACUCAGCCAUAUAAAAAAGAAUGAAGUCUUAUCAUUUACAACAAUGUGAAGGGAGCUAGAGAGUAUUAUGCUAAGCGAAGUCAGAGAAAGACAAACACUAUAUGAUUUCACUCAUACAUGGAAUUAAAGAAACAAAACAAAUGAGCAAAGGGGGAAAAGGAAACAGAGACAAACCAAGAAAAAGACUCUUAACUGUAGAGAACAAACUGAUGGUUACCAAAGGGGAGGUGGGGGGGCUGUUAUGUAGGUGAUGGGAAUUAAGGCGUGCACUUGCUGUGAUGAGCACCAGGAGCAUGGGAGCGCUGAAUCACUGUACUGCACACUUGAAACUAAUAUUACACUGUAUUUUAACUAAUUGGAAUUUAAAUUAAAACUUUAAAAAGAUAAAUUAAAUAAAGGAAUGUGUAUACACUGGCCAGGUCAGGCCUGGCUCAUGGGAAGGACACAGCAUUUUUUUUUUUUUUUCUCUGAGCUGUCCCCUACUCUUAAGCAAAUCAUACUCUUAGAUAUAAAAGUGAUACUCUUGAUAGUUGAUGCUGCCUGAUCCAACUCUGCAUUAUUACCCAGUCACUCUAUUUUCAACUCUUGUCCAUUUUCCUCACACUUAAUUUUUCUGCUUUGUUGUUUGUCUUUGCUUUCAUAUGGAAAUAGAGCUUCGUUAUUGCAGGGCUAGUUUCCGCAGAGGUCCUUGCUGUACCAACUGCAUUACGGCAAAUGAAAUAGAUACUCCCUACCUUCCUUUCAUUUUGUUCCUUAAGAGAAAACUCAAGUUAAAAAGAUUGCUUGAGGAGAUCCCCUGUCUCUCAGAUUGCUGAUGGGCAGGGUGGGAUAUUGGCUCUGAGACAAAUGAGCUGUCGCCAGCUCUUUGAGACACCACUGUCUAGGGCUUCUGAAUAUAUCCUUCAUUUGUAACAAACAGGCUAAUCACUCGUUGCAAAUCAAAGAGGUUGUGAAUAGUUGGAGAGUUAGCAUUUAACAGUUGUGAGUUUUAAAAUAGAUCAAAUUCUUUCAUUCCCUCUUCUAGUAUUUCAUGGUAGAGAACAGGCACAGAGAAACAUGGGGGCGGGGGGAAUGAACUGGUUCAUUCUUUAUUCAUUUAACACUGAGCUCACAUAAUGUAGCAGCCACCCAGUGUCUUCCUCCCUUCCAUCCAUGUGGAAAAGUUGGGACAAAAUGGUUGAUGACAAAUGUCUAAUUCCCAGGAGGGUUGAGUCAGGAAGUGUUCAAAGUGCCUCUGGUGUGCUGUGACUGCCCUGUCCAUUGAGCAAAGGGAAAGAACUCCUCUAGCUGGUUCACAAAAGGGCCAUGCCUUUAUGAAAAAAAAAA
rnacentral:lncRNA from 1 species